rnacentral:rRNA from 1 species
AACGAACGCUGGCGGCAUGCCUAACACAUGCAAGUCGAACGAGACCUUCGGGUCUAGUGGCGCACGGGUGCGUAACGCGUGGGAACCUGCCCUUAGGUUCGGAAUAACUCCCCGAAAGGGGUGCUAAUACCGGAUAAUGUCUUCGGACCAAAGAUUUAUCGCCUUUGGAUGGGCCCGCGUUGGAUUAGCUAGUUGGUAGGGUAAAAGCCUACUAAGGCGACGAUCCAUAGCUGGUCUGAGAGGAUGGUCAGCCACACUGGGACUGAGACACGGCCCAGACUCCUACGGGAUGCAGCAGUGGGGAAUAUUGGACAAUGGGCGAAAGCCUGAUCCAGCAAUGCCGCGUGAGUGAUGAAGGCCUUAGGGUUGUAAAGCUCUUUUACCCGGGAUGAUAAUGACAGUACCGGGAGAAUAAGCUCCGGCUAACUCCGUG